ensembl:snRNA U6 U6 spliceosomal RNA
GUGCUUGCUUCUGUGCACAUAUAUUAAAAUUGGAAUGACACAGAGAAGGUUAGCAUGGCCCCUGUGCAAGAAAGAAAUGCAAAUUUGUGAAAAGUUCCAUAUUUAA